rnacentral:rRNA from 1 species
AGCUCCAAUAGCGUAUAUUAAAGUUGUUGUGGUUAAAAAGCUCGUAGUUGGAUCUCGGCGGUCUGAGGGCGGUUCGCUUGAUUGAGUGCUACUGCUCUAUAGGCCGUGGUUUUGCCAGAGGUCUCGGGGUGCUCUUAACCGAGUGUCCUGCGAUGCUGGCAGGUUUACUUUGAAAAAAUUAGAGUGCUCAAAGCAGGCUUUUACGCCUGAAUAUUCGUGCAUGGAAUAAUAGAAUAGGAUGUCGAUCCUAUUUUGUUGGUUUUCGGGACUUGACAUAAUGAUUAAUAGGGACAGUCGGGGGCAUUUGUAUUCAAACGACAGAGGUGAAAUUCUUGGACCGUUUGAAGACAAACUACUGCGAAAGCAUUUGCCAAGAAUGUUU